rnacentral:RNase_P_RNA from 1 species
CAGGUAGACCGGGUGACCGCCGUUCCGACUCGUUCGGGAGGGAGGAAAGUCCGGGCUCCACUGGACGGGGUGCUGGGUAACGCCCAGGAUUCUGCAGCAAUGCGGAAGACGGAAAGUGGCACAGAAACAUACCGCCAUCGAGUUCACCAGUGAAGACGUGGGGAGUAAACUGAGAUGGGCGUGAAGUCGAUGGUAAGGGCGAAAUCGGACGGUAAGAGCGUCCGGUCGUUUGCGGUGACGCAGCGACGGCCAAACCCCACCUGGAGCAAGGCCGAAUAGGGGGACAAUGGGUGUCCGGCCCGUCCCCGGGUUGGCUGCUUGACCCCGAUGGCAACAUCGUACCAUCCCGAUUUAUCGGCGUGGUUUCUGACGGUUUCGCCGCCAGAGGGCUAGACAGAUGGUCACCACCCCGGCAUCUGCAAAGUGUCGGGUGACAAAACCCGGCUUACAGGUCUGCUUGGCCC